UACGGGGGGAGCAAGCGUUGUUCGGAUUUACUGGGCGUAAAGGGCGCGUAGGCGGCCAGUGCAAGUCAGUUGUGAAAUCUCCGAGCUUAACUCGGAACGGUCAACUGAUACUGCUCGGCUAGAGUGCGGAAGGGGCAACUGGAAUUCACGGUGUAGCAGUGAAAUGCGUAGAGAUCGUGAGGAAGACCAGUGGCGAAGGCGGGUCUCUGGACAGUUCCUGACACUGAGGCACGAAGGCCAGGGGAGCAAACGGG
rnacentral:rRNA from 1 species